GUGGGGAAUCUUGCGCAAUGGGCGAAAGCCUGACGCAGCCAUGUCGCGUGAAUGAUGAAGGUCUUAGGAUUGUAAAAUUCUUUCACCGGGGACGAUAAUGACGGUACCCGGAGAAGAAGCUCCGGCUAACUUCGUACCAGCAGCCGCGGUAAUACGAAGGGGGCUAGCGUUGCUCGGAAUUACUGGGCGUAAAGGGCGCGUAGGCGGACAGCUUAGUCAGAGGUGAAAGCCCAGGGCUCAACCUUGGAAUUGCCUUUGAUACUGACUGUCUUGAGUUUGGGAGAGGUGAGUGGAACUCCGAGUGUAGAGGUGAAAUUCGUAGAUAUUCGGAAGAACACCAGUGGCGAAGGCGACUCACUGGCCCAAUACUGACGCUGAGGCGCGAAAGCGUGGGGAGCAAACAGGAUUAGAUACCCGGGUAGUCC
rnacentral:rRNA from 1 species